rnacentral:rRNA from 1 species
GAUGAACGCUGGCGGCGUGCCUAAUACAUGCAAGUAGGACGCAGUUGCGAACGGGUGAGUAACGCGUAGGUAACUACCUAUUAGAGGGGGAUAACUAUUGGAAACGAUAGCUAAUACCGUAUACUAGUAGAUGGAACUGCAUGGUAUUAGCUAGUAGGUAGGGUAAUGGCCUACCUAGGCAACGAUACAUAGCCGGCCUGAGAGGGUGAUCGGCGACACUGGGACUGAGACACGGUCCAGACUCCUACGGGAGGCAGCAGUGGUGAAUCUUCGGCAAUGGGCGAAAGUCUGACCUAGCCACGCCGCGUGCAUGAAGAAGGUUUUCGGGUCGUAAAACUCUGUUGUUAGAGAAGCGGUAUCUAACCAGAAAGCCACGGCUAACUACGUGCCAGCCGCCGCGGUAAUAC